AGCAGCCGCGGUAAUUCCAGCUCCAAUAGCGUAUAUUAAAGUUGUUGCAGUUAAAAAGCUCGUAGUUGAAUUUCGGGACUAAUAUGUCGGUCGUACUUUGUACGUACUAGCAUUAUUGGUUUCUCCCUUCUGACGAACCACGAUGUCAUUAAUUUGGUGUCGCGGGAAAUCAGGACUGUUACUUUGGAAAAAUUAGAGUGUUUAAAGCAAGCUCGCGCUUGAAUACAUUAGCAUGGAAUAACGAAAUAGGACGUUUGAUUCUAUUUUGUUGGUUUCUAGGAUCGACGUAAUGAUUAAUAGGGAUAGUUGGGGGCAUUAGUAUUCAAUUGUCAGAGUGAAAUUCUUGGAUUUAUUGAAGACUAACUACUUGCGAAAGCAUUUGCCAAGGAUGUUUUCAUUAACCAAGAACGAAAGUUAGGGGAUCGAAGACGAUCAGAUACCGUCGUAGUCUUAACCAUAAACUAUGCCGACUAGGGAUCGGAUGAUGUUAAUUUUUUAAUGACUCAUUCGGCGCCUUACGG
rnacentral:rRNA from 1 species